AUUUGGAUGAACACAAGGUCUUAGU
rnacentral:piRNA from 1 species